rnacentral:rRNA from 1 species
GAUGAACGCUGGCGGUAUGCUUAACACAUGCAAGUCGAACGGACUCUUCGGAGUUAGUGGCGGACGGGUGAGUAACGCGUGAGAAUCUGGCUUUGGGUUCGGGACAACCACUGGAAACGGUGGCUAAUACCGGAUGUGCCGAGAGGAAAAAGAGAAAUUGCCUGAAGAUGAGGUCGCGUCUGAUUAGCUAGUUGGUGAGGUAAAGGCUCACCAAGGCAGCGAUCAGUAGCUGGUCUGAGAGGAUGACCAGCCACACUGGGAAUGGGACACGGCGCAGACUCCUACGGGAGGCAGCAGGGGAGAAUUUUCCGCAAUUGGCGAAAGGCUGACGGAGCAAUACCGCGUGGAGGAAGAAGGCUCUUGGGUUGUAAACCUCUUUUCUUAGGGAAGAACAAAAUGACGGUACCUAAGGAAUCAGCAUCGGCUAACUCCGUG